AGAGUUUGAUCCUGGCUCAGGAUGAACGCUAGCGGCAGGCUUAACACAUGCAAGUCGAGGGGCAGCGAGUAGAUUGCUUGCAAUCUAUGUCGGCGACCGGCGCACGGGUGCGUAACGCGUACGCAACCUACCCAUUACAGGGGGAUAACACUGAGAAAUCGGUACUAAUACCCCAUAACAUCCAGGGAGGCAUCUUCUUGGGUUGAAAACUCCGGUGGUAAUGGAUGGGCAUGCGUUGUAUUAGUUAGUUGGUGGGGUAACGGCUCACCAAGACAACGAUACAUAGGGGGACUGAGAGGUUAACCCCCCACAUUGGUACUGAGACACGGACCAAACUCCUACGGGAGGCAGCAGUGAGGAAUAUUGGUCAAUGGACGCAAGUCUGAACCAGCCAUGCCGCGUGCAGGAAGACGGCUCUAUGAGUUGUAAACUGCUUUUGUACGAGGGUAAACGCAGAUACGCGUAUCUGUCUGAAAGUAUCGUACGAAUAAGGAUCGGCUAACUCCGUGCCAGCAGCCGCGGUAAUACGGAGGAUUCAAGCGUUAUCCGGAUUUAUUGGGUUUAAAGGGUGCGUAGGCGGUCGGAUAAGUUAGAGGUGAAAUCCCGGGGCUCAACUUCGGAAUUGCCUCUGAUACUGUUCGGCUAGAGAGUAGUUGCGGUAGGCGGAAUGUAUGGUGUAGCGGUGAAAUGCUUAGAGAUCAUACAGAACACCGAUUGCGAAGGCAGCUUACCAAGCUACUUCUGACGUUGAGGCACGAAAGCGUGGGGAGCAAACAGGAUUAGAUACCCUGGUAGUCCACGCAGUAAACGAUGAUAACUCGUUGUCGGCGAUACAAUGUCGGUGACUAAGCGAAAGCGAUAAGUUAUCCACCUGGGGAGUACGUUCGCAAGAAUGAAACUCAAAGGAAUUGACGGGGACCCGCACAAGCGGAGGAACAUGUGGUUUAAUUCGAUGAUACGCGAGGAACCUUACCCGGGCUUGAAAGUUAGUGACAGAUCUGGAAACAGGUCUUCCCUUCGGGGCACGAAACUAGGUGCUGCAUGGUUGUCGUCAGCUCGUGCCGUGAGGUGUCGGGUUAAGUCCCAUAACGAGCGCAACCCCUACCGUCAGUUGCCAGCAGGUCAAGCUGGGCACUCUGGCGGGACUGCCGGUGUAAGCCGAGAGGGAGGUGGGGAUGACGUCAAAUCAGCACGGCCCUUACGUCCGGGGCUACACACGUGUUACAAUGGCAGGUACAGAGGGCAGCUACCCAGCGAUGGGAUGCGAAUCUCGAAAGCCUGUCUCAGUUCGGAUUGGAGGCUGAAACCCGCCUCCAUGAAGUUGGAUUCGCUAGUAAUCGCGCAUCAGCCAUGGCGCGGUGAAUACGUUCCCGGGCCUUGUACACACCGCCCGUCAAGCCAUGGAAGCUGGGGGUGCCUGAAGUUCGUGACCGCAAGGAGCGACCUAGGGCAAAACCGGUGACUGGGGCUAAGUCGUAACAAGGUAACC
rnacentral:rRNA from 1 species